rnacentral:rRNA from 2 species
UGGGGAAUAUUGCACAAUGGGCGAAAGCCUGAUGCAGCGACGCCGCGUGAAGGAUGAAGGUCUUCGGAUUGUAAACUUCUAUCAGCAGGGAAGAAAAAAAUGACGGUACCUGACUAAGAAGCUCCGGCUAACUACGUGCCAGCAGCCGCGGUAAUACGUAGGGAGCGAGCGUUAUCCGGAUUUACUGGGUGUAAAGGGUGCGUAGGCGGCCUGGCAAGUCAGAAGUGAAAUUUAGGGGCUCAACCUCUAAACUGCUUCUGAAACUACCGGGCUAGAGUGCAGGAGAGGAAAGCGGAACUCCACGUGUAGCGGUGAAAUGCGUAGAGAUGUGGAGGAACACCAGUAGCGAAGGCGGCUUUCUGGACUGUAACUGACGCUGAGGCACGAAAGCGUGGGGAGCAAACAGG